rnacentral:rRNA from 1 species
UACAGAGGUCUCAAGCGUUGUUCGGAUUCAUUGGGCGUAAAGGGUGCGUAGGUGGCGGGGUAAGUCUGGUGUGAAAUCCUGGGGCUCAACCCCGGAACUGCACUGGAUACUGCUUGCUAGAGUACUGGAGAGGGAACUGGAAUUUACGGUGUAGCAGUGAAAUGCGUAGAUAUCGUAAGGAAGACCAGUGGCGAAGGCGAGUUCCUGGACAGUUACUGACACUGAGGCACGAAGGC